UCUCCCCUGAGAAUGAAGCCUCAUUUCACACCCCAGCCAAGCGGUGUGAAGACAGGGCUGGAAACCAUUCCAGUUCUCCUGUGUGCGAACUUCUGGUUGGAGCCCAGACUGGUUGUUGAGGCCACUGGCAAAGAGUGAAAGAGAGGAAAGGCAUGUGGAUGUAGGGAAGGUGUUCAGACCAAGAACUGAGAGAGGCUGUGUCACAGGAUUAAGGCAGCUAUGCAAGCUUGCACAGGGCCACAAGUAUGAACAGAAAUGCACACUUUGGUAGAACUGGUAGAAGACAGGGCUUCAGAGGAUGGAUCAAAUGAUGUCCCGUAGGAACUUGCCCUACCAAACAACAACAUCUCCUUCAGUACAAAGGAAGUCAAAGUAUUUUCAAAAUUUGAUAUUGUUCCUCUGUUCCUGGGUAUGGAAUGCAGGAAUUUUUCCCCUCAAAAUGAAGCUGUAGUUACCUGAAGGUUGAAAAAUGAACAUUGUAUUUCAAGGCAGUAGCACAUAGCAGUGGAGAAACUCAGGAAAAACAGAAGCAGGGAGCAGCAAUAAAGCAGCCUGUUCAUCGUGGGCAGCACCUCCAACAUCUGAUACCUCGAUGGCAGCCAAGGCAUGGAACAAAGUUGUAACAGAGCGCUGGAAACCAAAAAGCCACAAUGUGUUGUCUGGAUGAUGGUGUAUCCAAAGUUCAUCUGGAAGCUGAAAGGGGCUGCAGGAAGACAUCGAAUGCACCUGAGAGAUAACAAUGUAAAUCAGGCUUUGUGGUAAUUAAGGUAUGUGUGGUGAAAACAGAGGCAGAUGCAUGUUUAGAUUAGUGAGUUGUGCCAGACAUGAUUGGUGCUGAAACUUCAAGAACUGAUUGCCAAAUUUGUUGUUAUUCCCAUUCUGGGCAGAGAGUCUGGAGCAGGAGAAGAGUCAUGAGCAGCAGCUCUCUCAGCACUCACCAAUGAUCAGUAGAACACCUGAAAACAUGCUGUGCAGCCCUCUGGAGAGCUGGCUGCUUAUGUGGCCCUAUAAGUUUCUUUUACAUUUUGUCUUUUACCUCCUGGUGUCCUAAAAUGAUAUUUUCCACCUUCUUUUGUCCUAACCCCUGAUUUUGGAGACCGAAAUGAAACAUAUGACACACCCUUCAGUUCUCAGGGUCAGUAGGAAUAUUCACUUGCUGAGAGUUAACCACACACCAAAGAAGCAUUUUUGAAUGGCCAUUUUAACCCUCCAACACCCUGCCAUCUACCAAAGAAAAACAUACUGGCAAGGAUCAGUGUUAUUCCCAGUGUUGUCUCCUCAGCUCUGUUUAUGGCAAGAACCUGUGUUUUUAAUUUACCAUAGUUCCCUCCUGAACUCUGGUGUUGUCAUGUAAAGGCAAACAGAGCAGAUGUUGUUAUGACGAUGAUUAUUAACAUUAUUAUUGAUGUUUAUAAAUUAAAGCCUGUUUAGGGGAGCAGUCACCUGCCUGUUUGAGUUCCGUGGAACUGACAGGACCACUGAGGUCCCCACACUUGACUGAAGGCUGUUUUAAAUAGGAAUGAACCCAAACAUAUGUUUAAUUGCUUCACUAGAAGUAUGGAAAGUCUCAUUCUCUUCAUGGGACAAACCUUUGUUCCUUCCAGCCAGACCAUGCAGGCAUAAAUCACUUUGAGCAGCCAAAGAAUCCUCUGCCUGCAAAAAUCCCCGGAUUGAUCAAACUGAACACCUAAUUACAGAGCUGGUGAGCUUACACUGAAGGCGGUUUGAAAGGCUGCCUGGAACAUCAUGGGUUGAGCUGCCUUUGUUGGGAGCAUUGUGCUGUGAUGUGUAACGUGGGUAGAUUCCUGUGGGAUGUUGACAGUUUGUGGGAAAUGCAUGUAGGAGGAACUGGGUUACGAAGACCAGGGGGUUUAAUUUUUAUUUUUUUCUUUACUCUCUCUCUCUCUCUCUUUCUCACUGUACUGCAUGUGAGCUUGGAGAUUUUGGGGGUUUGGUUUUCUUUUCUUGGCUUUUUAAGGUAUGGGGAAAGAAGACCUUCUGGUUUUGGAAAAAUCUGGCCACUACAUGCUGAGUGUUAUGAGCCACUCGUUCCUGAAGGUUCAAUACUGCACAGGUCCUACCCUCCCCAAAAGGAUGCUGGUUGGUGCUCCUGAAAAUGCUAAUGUUCCUCUUUUUUUGCUUAUGGCAUUUAUAUUGAGUGCUAAUCACUUGUUAAGCUAUGGAUUUAUGUAAUAAAUUAAUUAGCUCUGCAAUGUUUUCUCCACUCUCUGCCUGCCAGUCGUCUCUGCUGGGACUUGUUAGUUUUUUUCCAGUUACAAAUAGCUCUCGGUAUUAUUAUUUGCUUUUAAAUAAUUUCUCAGGCUGAUAUUUUUUUUCCCUUUCCCACCAGAAGUGGAUUUUCUCCUGUGUGUUAUCCCAGCCUGAGGCACAGGGCAGGCAUGAUUUGGGUCUGCACUGGCAGUGGGUUUUCCACACACAAACAUACAGAGUUUAAAGUUCAUUGGCUUAGAGCAGUGCAAGGAUAGGGCCAGAAGGUUUGCCUUUGGAAAAGGAUGAAUCUUGCCUUCAAUAAUAACUUAGGCCCAGUAUUAACAGGGCAUGAGAUAUCCAAAGUCAUAAUGCCAUUUGUUAUAGAAAAAACAUUUUCAUGGCACCCUCCCUCCCAUGCUUUCUGUUCCCUCUCCUGAAUGUAUGCUGGAAUUGGUGUGAUAUCAGCGCAGGAUCUGUUUAAUCUAGAGAUGGUGUUUACAACUUUUUGGAAAAUAUUUCUUGAAGUUUAUGAAUAUAUUCUAGUUUUUGCAUAUUCUAGUUUUCUUCAUAUGCAUUCAGUCCAUUUUAAUUUUGCUAGAACAAAGAAUUUCAGAGAAUAGUUUUGUAUUGGUCUUGUGAGAAAAAAAAUGCAGUCUUUUAUCACUCCUUAUGGAUUUUUAUCAUGCAAUGUUUCCACCUUUUUGAAUGAGAGAAACAUUGAAUAGGAGCACAGGAUAUUUCAUUUGUAUUAGACUCAUCGUAUUGAAACCUCUAAUAUAUUUCUUCUUAUUUUGUCUUUAAAUUAAAUGGACCUAAUCCUUUUAUCUUUUCACAUAGAAAAUUCCUCAUUCUGCUAUUUAUUUUAAUUAUUUUUCUCUGAAUCCCCUCUGUUGUUGCAUUAUCUCCUCUAAAAGCACUGACCAAAACUGAACACAGUGUCCCUGUUGGCAGUGCAUUAUUCAUUUACCUAUCACAUUAUGCUGUUUAUAAUGUUUUCCAUUAUAAUACACAAUUCCUCAUAAUACACAAUUUGUCAUUUUUCCC